AUUGAACGCUGGCGGCAUGCCUUACACAUGCAAGUCGAACGGUAACAGGUCUUCGGAUGCUGACGAGUGGCGAACGGGUGAGUAAUACAUCGGAACGUGCCUAGUAGUGGGGGAUAACUACUCGAAAGAGUGGCUAAUACCGCAUGAGAUCUACGGAUGAAAGCAGGGGAUCGCAAGACCUUGUGCUACUAGAGCGGCCGAUGGCAGAUUAGGUAGUUGGUGGGAUAAAAGCUUACCAAGCCGACGAUCUGUAGCUGGUCUGAGAGGACGAUCAGCCACACUGGGACUGAGACACGGCCCAGACUCCUACGGGAGGCAGCAGUGGGGAAUUUUGGACAAUGGGCGAAAGCCUGAUCCAGCAAUGCCGCGUGCAGGAUGAAGGCCUUCGGGUUGUAAACUGCUUUUGUACGGAACGAAAAGCCCUGGGUUGAUACCCUGGGGUCAUGACGGUACCGUAAGAAUAAGCACCGGCUAACUACGUGCCAGCCGCCGCGGUAA
rnacentral:rRNA from 1 species